rnacentral:misc_RNA from 1 species
GAUGAAGAACGCAGCGAAAUGCGAUAAGUAAUGUGAAUUGCAGAAUUCCGUGAAUCAUCGAAUCUUUGAACGCACAUUGCGCCCCCUGGCAUUCCGGGGGGCAUGCCUGUCCGAGCGUCAUUUCUGCCCUCAAGCACGGCUUGUGUGUUGGGUGCGGUCCCCCCGGGGACCCGCCCGAAAGGCAGCGGCGACGUCCGUCUGGUCCUCGAGCGUAUGGGGCUUUGUCACUCGCUCGGGAAGGACCUGCGGGGGUUGGUCACCACCAUAUUUUUACCACGGUUGACCUCGGAUCAGGUAGGAGUUACCCGCUGAACUCAAGCAUAUCAAUAAGCGGAGGA